rnacentral:rRNA from 1 species
UACGUAGGGUGCGAGCGUUAAUCGGAAUUACUGGGCGUAAAGCGUGCGCAGGCGGUUCGUUAAGUUCGUUGUGAAAGCCCCGGGCUCAACCUGGGAAUUGCAUUCGAGACUACAUUGCUGGAGUACGGAAGAGGAGGGCGGAAUUCCCGGUGUAGCGGUGAAAUGCGUAGAUAUCGGGAGGAACAUCAGUGGCGAAGGCGGCCCUCUGGUCCAGUACUGACACUCAAGUGCGAAAGCGUGGGGAGCAAACAGG